rnacentral:rRNA from 1 species
UACGUAGGGGGCAAGCGUUGUCCGGAUUUAUUGGGCGUAAAGAGCGUGUAGGCGGCCAGAUAGGUCAGCUGUGAAAACUCGAGGCUCAACCUCGAGACGUCGGUUGAAACCAUCUGGCUAGAGUCCGGAAGAGGAGAGUGGAAUUCCCGGUGUAGCGGUGAAAUGCGCAGAUAUCGGGAAGAACACCCGUGGCUAAGGCGGCUCUCUAGUACGGUACUGACGCUGAGACGCGAAAGCGUGGGGAGCGAACAGG